CCGCUGCCGGCCCCGACCGGGGGAGCAAGGAGCAGCCACUGGCUCCYGCGUCCCUCUUUCCCCGGGAUGUUUUGCCGAGCCCCCGUUCCCCCUCCCCGCGACGGCGAGCGGCUCCCGACCUGCCGCUCGGCUCCCCAACACCCACUGAGCCGGCGGCCGCUCGCACGGCCCGUCCUCGCGUUACUGCGCGGCGAGGAACUUCCUUACAAGGUAUUUCCAAACACCUCAAAACAAAACAUUAAUUGCCGGAGCAAAACACCAGCCCUUAUCGCGUGAUGCGAGAGAAGGCAGCUGCUGAUUCACCCUUGGAAAGAGCCAUCGUGUUUCCAUUAGAUAUUGAUGGACGGGGGUUUUUGGUCAAAACCUGAGGGCAGGCGCUUUUCCUCACCUUCCCUUUGCUGCCUCAUUCCCAAGCCAAGCGGGCCGGCCCAGUGGCAGCGCACGUGGGGGGAACCCUCUGCUUGAGCGGCCGAGCGGCUCCGGCGCCUGCCCUGGUGCCCCGGGGUGGCCAACAUGCCCCUCCGGGCUGCGGCCGAAACGGGCCCCGCGGGGGCUGCCGRCUCCCCACCGAGCCGCGCUGUGGCUUAGCGCUGAAAAACAUCCUGUAGAAAAGCCUCCACGUGCACCCGCGUCCGCGUUCCCCUUUUGCAACCCCCCCCCGAGCCGCUUCCUCUUUCAGGCGCCGGGGCUCGGCCUGCGCUGCUAUCAGCCCAUCGGAGCCGUGGGGCAGCUGUCGGUCUAUCUGUCCGUCCCGCAGGCUGUUCUCCUUCCCCCUCUGGUCCUGGUGACCAGCUCAUCCCAGGGAUGGGGCCCRGCCAUGGCAGGAGCUGCUCACGGCGGCGGGGGGCAUUUCCCAUUGGAGGCCGGGGGGCUCCGAGCCACGUCAUCGCCCAUCUGCAGGAGGCGAGACGGACUCAUUGCCGGCACCGGGCGCUGUGCCGACGCGCAGGGGCGCAAACCCCGGGUCCCGCAGGAGCCCCGCAGCGGAGCGGGGAGCUCGCCCCACGCUUCGGGCCCCC
rnacentral:lncRNA from 1 species